GAGACUUUAGCUAAAUCCUGUCACUAGCAUUUGUGCCUUGAUUUAGUUUAAGUUUCUCAUAAGUCAGAGGUCUUGUGUUCGAAUCCUGAGGGCGUUAUAGAAAUCUGUGAGAAGUCAGAUAGGUUUAGACUCUCACGGAGCGGAAGUACAUGAGAAAACAACUUGGGUACGAGGCCUGGGUUGUUACAAAAAAUGUUAUACAAUACGAAAUAAAAAAUAUUAAUCAUCCAAAUUCAAUCUAUAUAUUAAUGUUAUAGUCAUCCAAAUUGCAGAUCCAAUAUGAAUUUUUUUUUUUUGAAAGGGAAUCAAAUAUUUUAUUAACUAAUGCAUAAUACACGGGAAGUGUAUUAUCAAUUUAAAGCAGAAAGGAACAACAUAAAAUUGUGCAGCCCAUCUAUAUGCCUAGUAGCUGCAGCAUUAAACCACGUAUACAAUGUGAAAUAAAACAUCUCUAAUUUGCUCUGCUGUCCGUGUUUGAUUAUCAAAGCAGCAGCUAUUUCUUUCUCCCCACAUACACCAUACAAUGUAACCCGGAAUAAGGUCCCAUGCAAGCUUGCAAUCCUUGUCUCGAAAUUUUCUCCUCCAUGCCUUUAACACGUCUUCCAUACGCCUCGGCAUCACCUAAUCCAUGUGUUGUGAUGCCAAAAUAUUGUGUCACAGUAAACGAGCAGCAUCACAAUGGAAAAACAAGUGAUCAAUCGUCUCCCCGUCCCUCCGACACUUAUAACACCACUCUGUAAUAUAAAAACAUCUUGUUCGUAGAUUAUCCAUCGUUAACACCUGUCCUCUGACCACUGUCCAAAGUAAGAAUGCAACCCGUGGAGGCAAUUUACAUUUCCACACCGAUUUCCAAGGGAAUGAACUCUGCACAGGACCCAAUAAAGAUCUAAAAUAAGUGCCAACUGAGAAAAUCCCAUCCCGUGUCAAUCUCCACCUACUACAGUUUGCCUCUCCUGUCUUGAUGCGGACCUUGUACAAAGAAGUCAAAAAUAGCGCAUAAUCGUCAAAUUCCCAAUCCUGUAAUCUCUGGCCAAAAACAAUAUUCCAACUGAUCCUCCCAUUAUGUAUAUCUAAGAAUCACUCACCGUAGUAGACGGUGUAAACACAAUACGAGAUAAAGAGGGAAAUUUCACCUUCAGCGGUUGUUCUCCAGACCAAUAAUCAUCCCAAAAACUGAUGGUAGUACCAUUCCUCACUGCAAAAGUCAAUUUUGGGAGCACACCAAGACCUCCACUAUUUUAAUGCUUAAAGAACUAUGAAAAUAUCAAGGAUCACAAAAUUCUAAAGCAAAAAUAGACACUUGUAUUGCCAACAUAUCUCUGGCUUGUUUGGACAAGAUACUAUAUUUAUUUAAGUUAAAAUUCUACCUAUUAAGAUUCUACCGAAGAUCAAAAUAAUUGUUCUCUAUGCUUUUACGAGCGUCUAAAAAGUAUGUCUACAUUUUUUUAUCUAAGCACUAUCUUUUGCUCCAUGUUUUUCCAUAAACCUAGAAAGACGAGUAUAACUCAUAGAAGAAGAAAAUUGCCUUUACGAGAAUUAAAAUAAUUGAUACUUGACUGCUUUAGAAACUCCUUCGCGUCCCUUGUAUCAGCUCUUAUUCCUUUCCUUCAUAUGUUGCUUUUCUUCGCUUUUGGGAGGUUAGGUUUAUGUUCCCCUUCCUCUUGUUCUUGUGAGUUUGAUUUUAUAUAUACGGUUGGAGAAUCCAAAUCCCCAUCAGUGUUCCCUGAUGGAGCUUUAAAACCCACUGAGGUUGUGUUAGUGUUUUCCUUAGAAGAAAAAAGAAGAAGCCAUAAUUGAUCAAUCACAACUUGAAUUGAUCCUCCGAAUGUCAAUUAUAACAGACAAAAAACAAAAUUAACCAAUUAAACUAAAUAAAAUAUGAAGGCCUAUUUUUCAAAAUUUCAAAAUAAAUACAAAUUGUAGAAGGGUAGGUAUAAAAGCUCAUUUUUGACCAAUUUAUCAGGAAUAAGAUAUAAUUUGCUGUCGUUUCAUAGUUUUGACUCUUGUUUACUCCUUUAUAUUUAAGAUAAUUGUUCUCUGUUUAUUAGAGAUUUUUAUUGAUAUGUUGAGAAAUUCACUGGUAGGGUGCACAGUUCACUUUUUUUGCCCGUGGUUUGCACGAAUAACCAUUUCAUACAAGUAAAAGCUGCAAUUGCCUUCUGCUUGAUUUUGUCGCUUUUAAUCAAAUCUCCUGGAUGUGCAUUUUAAGAUGGCAGUGACUAUCUUAAUGCGCAUGGGAAUUAAAGAUUCUGCUGCUCCCCUUUUGACUUUUCUCCCUUAAUCAGUUUAGGACCCCGCCUACCCCCAUUCACAAUUAUGGCUUUGUUAUCAUUCCAGAAACAUUUGAGAAUCUUGUAUAUAUAGAGGCAUCAAAAUGAACCUUCUGAAUAUUAAUGCUCUUCUUUAGGCACAUUGUAUGUGGUAAUCCUGUCUUAUCUGCUUUUGAAAGAUCAGAAGAGUCUAUGCAGUAUCCUCUACGAUGGUCUGUGUAUGGAAACACAGACAAAUGCUCCUGUGCAAUCAAAGAAAGAAGAUAGGUAAUUCAUCUUCACAUUUUGAAGGUUAAUUCCUAAAGCAAUGAAAGUAAAUAAACUUUGGGAAUCGAUAGAUGUUUUCACUCUUUUUUUUUUCCAUCACGUGCUAGAUACUUGUGUCUUUUCUACUGUGAUAAUCCAUGUUUUCCGUUAGCAACUCCCCAACUGUGCCAACCCAAAAAAAUAAAAAAUAAAAUAAAUAAUGGAAAAACGAAACAAUAGGUACAGAAUUGAACAGACUAAAUGUGCAGUUGGCAGAUAGUUUGAUGUAAUACUCAAGGAGGUGCAGAUUGCAUUGGAGACUUGACAAAAUAUGAACUUUUUUAAAGUGUGAAAUUCUAAAGUAGGUAUAAAUUUACUUUCUCUUGGUAGUUUCUAGAUUUUUAAAUUAGGAAAGUUUUUACUUGAUAUUUUGAUAAAUUCUAAUUGUAGGGAUUUUAGGUAUGAAGAUUUUCUCUGAAUUUUUUGAUUCUUCUCUCUUUUUCUCUCAGGGUAUUGAAGAAGGAACCAAAAAACCUGUAGCAAGAACCUUGUGAACCACACGAACGUGAUCAUAAAAUUAGAUAAAAAAAAUAAAUAAAUAUUAGAUAAAAUUUGUUAACAUUCAUGAACUAUGCAUUUUUAAAAUUGAAUACGAUAAUUUGGAGUUACAGUCGUUAUGACUUGAAUAAGCAAGAGUACCUAUCUGCCAGCUGCAAUUGGUAAAAUAGUUUUUGAUGUGUAAAGGUCCACAAGUAAUUUCAUGGACGAUAUAGCAUGAUUAGUAGUAAGUACCAAAGUCUAUCUGGUAUGGAGACACCAGUUUCCCAUAGCUCUUUGCAAUGCAUGAGGCUGAAAAGAGUUUCUAUCUUUUAAUUUUGUGAGACAACUAAUGAUUCAAAUUUGUAACUUUGAGAGAUAAGUAUGAAGCAGCUAACAUGACAGAUAAAUACAUAUUGUAAAAGAAUAUGGAACUUCUAUCGUAUUAAGUUAUUAACUCAUUGGUGCAAUAACUUGUGGGCUUUUCUAUAAUUAUAAAGCUGGAAAGAGAUUGUUCUUUUUUCAUUCUUGUGUAGUUUGGCCCCAGUUGGACAGAUCUGUCUUUAACCGAGAAAAAUCCCAGGCUGGUUUAGUACGCAAAUUGAUUGAAUUUAAAUGCAGUCUCUUGGAGGGAGAUCUAGUACAUUCCUAUGGAAAAUCGAAGACAAUUGGUAUCAAAACCCAUCUUGAAUCAGGUAUAGUUCUGUUCAUGCAACUCAGUACGAGUAAAUAGAAUGCCUAACUGACAGUAUAAGGGUCGGUUUUACGUGAACUUUUGAUUUAUUAUCGUGCAGUUGUACCUUAAUUAUUCCCCUAAAAGAAAAACAAUUUCCAAAUGAUGGAAUCUGGUUGAUGAUCAUGUUUAAGUUCUUAAGAGUUGAGAAAAUUCCCUUUCUUCAGUCCACAAUAACAAGUGUUUUUAAGGGGUCAGAGCCUCUUGACAUGCAUGGGUAAAAAAAGAGUCUGGGCAGAAAGCUGCUUGCAGAAUAUUUGGUCAGUUUCAUUCUGGAUGCUGAGAAAUUCAAAAGCUCGAUGUUGACUGCUUGGAAUUCUAUUGUAUACUGAAUACAAACUUUUGCCACAAGGCAAUACUUGUCUGUAGUGAACAAGAGUUUCAGAUUGAUAAACCAUAAACAACUGAGCAGCUUUGCUACAAAUUGAGUUGUUGCAUCUAACUUAGCACUAUUCUUAAUUUCCCCUUAAUUUCAUUAGUGAUACAAGCCCCUUUUAUGUUCUGCGGUAGAAAUGUUCAUACCAACACAAGAAAUGCACUAAAAAAGCAAGUUACAUUUACUGAGAAAGAGAAGGGAAGUUUCUCGAUUCCUUUACAGUGCGCUGCAUCAAGUUAUUCAGAUAUGGGAAUAUCAGUAGCUGAUUUCUUUAAAACAUCAGUUGGAAGUAAACGACAGCAUUUUCUUUACAAGAGCAUACGACCGGGAGCAGAUUUCAUUCAUCACGCGGGAAGUCUUUGUCUGAGGGGUUUCCAAGAAAUGAACCCCGAGUCUUUCUCAGGAUGAAAUACCCAAAUUCUUUUUGUAUUAUGAGAUAGCUAGUCAAGAACCAAACUUGGCGAGCUUGACCCAUCUACACCAUUGUAGCUACAAUAUUAUUUUAUGCAUCUAUGUUUCAAGAUUGGUAGUAUUCAU
rnacentral:lncRNA from 1 species